ACCGCAUAAUGUCUACNNACCAAAGGGGGCUUCGGCUCUCGCCUUUAGAUUGGCCCAAGUGGGAUUAGCUAGUUGGUGAGGUAAUGGCUCACCAAGGCGACGAUCCCUAGCUGGUUUGAGAGGAUGAUCAGCCACACUGGGACUGAGACACGGCCCAGACUCCUACGGGAGGCAGCAGUGGGGAAUAUUGCACAAUGGGCGCAAGCCUGAUGCAGCCAUGCCGCGUGUGUGAAGAAGGCCUUCGGGUUGUAAAGCACUUUCAGUCAGGAGGAAAGGUUAGUAGUUAAUACCUGCUAGCUGUGACGUUACUGACAGAAGAAGCACCGGCUAACUCCGUGCCAGCAGCCGCGGUAAUACGGAGGGUGCGAGCGUUAAUCGGAAUUACUGGGCGUAAAGCGUACGCAGGCGGUUUGUUAAGCGAGAUGUGAAAGCCCCGGGCUCAACCUGGGAACUGCAUUUCGAACUGGCAAACUAGAGUGUGAUAGAG
rnacentral:rRNA from 1 species